rnacentral:rRNA from 1 species
ACGCUGGCGGCAUGCUUUACACAUGCAAGUCGGACGGCAGCACAGAGAAGCUUGCUUCUUGGGUGGCGAGUGGCGAAUGGGUGAGUAAUAUAUCGGAACGUACCGAGUAAUGGGGGAUAACUAAUCGAAAGAUUAGCUAAUACCGCAUAUUCUCUGAGGAGGAAAGCAGGGGACCUUCGGGCCUUGCGUUAUUCGAGCGGCCGAUAUCUGAUUAGCUAGUUGGUGGGGUAAAGGCCUACCAAGGCGACGAUCAGUAGCGGGUCUGAGAGGAUGAUCCGCCACACUGGGACUGAGACACGGCCCAGACUCCUACGGGAGGCAGCAGUGGGGAAUUUUGGACAAUGGGCGCAAGCCUGAUCCAGCCAUGCCGCGUGUCUGAAGAAGGCCUUCGGGUUGUAAAGGACUUUUGUCAGGGAAGAAAAGGCUGUUGCUAAUACCGACAGCUGAUGACGGUACCUGAAGAAUAAGCACCGGCUAACUACGUGCCAGCAGCCGCGGUAAUACGUAGGGUGCGAGCGUUAAUCGGAAUUACUGGGCGUAAAGCGAGCGCAGACGGUUACUUAAGCAGGAUGUGAAAUCCCCGGGCUCAACCUGGGAACUGCGUUCUGAACUGGGUGACUAGAGUGUGUCAGAGGGAGGUAGAAUUCCACGUGUAGCAGUGAAAUGCGUAGAGAUGUGGAGGAAUACCGAUGGCGAAGGCAGCCUCCUGGGAUAACACUGACGUUCAUGCUCGAAAGCGUGGGUAGCAAACAGGAUUAGAUACCCUGGUAGUCCACGCCCUAAACGAUGUCAAUUAGCUGUUGGGCAACUUGAUUGCUUAGUAGCGUAGCUAACGCGUGAAAUUGACCGCCUGGGGAGUACGGUCGCAAGAUUAAAACUCAAAGGAAUUGACGGGGACCCGCACAAGCGG